ACUUUCACGCCUGGUUUCAGUGCUAAGUGUUAUUUACAAAAUUAAAGCUUAUUGGUAUUUGAGAGGGCAAACUUGCGUUAUUAUGCUCUAUUAUCGAUACGUUACUUGAAAAUAGUGCCAAAAGUAGCAAUAUUAUCAUUUAUAGCAAUAAUAACUUGAGAAAACAAACUGAACUCCCUUUUGUCAUUUGCUUUACAUAAUAUUCCUUAGAGAACAGCUCUAGUUGAACAACAGGCAUGCAUAUUUUCUAAAUGACACAAUCUUUAAAUACACUGGAAUCUUACAAAGUGCUGACAGAUGCAAAUAACACAAACUCGUG